CACUGUAUACAGUGUAAAACAUGCUGAGAGGCGGCCGGACAAAAAACGCAGCGUGCUGGGCAUCAGUAAAUGUGAAUGGGGCCGAAGCGGACUUCCGGCGGCACUCGUGGGCUAGCGUUAGCACUGAUCUGGCAGGGGAACAGCCUGCCAUACCCUGCUAAUGCUAGUGUGAAA